rnacentral:rRNA from 1 species
AGUGAACGCUGUCGGUAGGCCUAACACAUGCAAGUCGAACGGCAGCACAGUCAGAUCUUGCUCUUACGGGUGGCGAGUUGCGUUCGUUUUUGUAAUACAUCCGAAUCUACUUUUUCGUUGGGGAUAAUGUAGGUUAUCUUCCGCUAAUACCGCAUACGUCCUACGGGUGAUAGCAGUUGAUCUUCGCACCUUGCCCGAUCGCAUGAGCCGAUGUCGGAUUAGCUAGUCGGCGGGGUAACGACCCACCAAGGCGACGGUCCGUAGCUGGGCUGGGAGGAUGAUCAGCGAUACUGGAACUGAGACACAGACCAGACGCCUACGGGAGGCAGAAGUGGGGAAUAUUGGACAAUGAGCGCAAGCCUGAUCCAGCCAUACCGCGUGGGUGAAGAAGGCCUUCGGGUUGUAAAGACCGUUUGUAGGGAAAGAAAAGCAGCAGGUUAAUAACCCGCUGUUCUGGCGGUACCCAAAGAAUAAGAACAGGCUAACUUAGUG